UACGUAGGGUGCAAGCGUUGUCCGGAAUUAUUGGGCGUAAAGAGCUCGUAGGUGGCCUGUCGCGUCGGCUGUGAAAACUCGGGGCUCAACUCCGAGCUUGCAGUCGAUACGGGCAGGCUAGAGUUCGGCAGGGGAGACUGGAAUUCCUGGUGUAGCGGUGAAAUGCGCAGAUAUCAGGAGGAACACCGGUGGCGAAGGCGGGUCUCUGGGCCGAUACUGACACUGAGGAGCGAAAGCGUGGGGAGCGAA
rnacentral:rRNA from 1 species